AUUCUAAAAAAAUUAUAAAUUAAAUCCUAAUGAAAUCCUAAUGAAAUUCUAACCAAAUCCUAAUCAAACUCUAAACCAAAUUUUAAUCAAAUCUUAUUAAAUUCUAAAUACUAAAUCAAAUCCUAAAAAAAUUCUAAUCAAAUCCUAAUAAAAUCCUAUCAAAUUCUAAAUCCUAAAUCAAAUCCUAAUAAAAUCCAAAACAAUCGAAAAAAAAAUUCUAAGUAAAUCUUAAUAACUUCUUAAAGCUAUUUCAAAAUAUCAAUAAAUAUUAAUCAAACUAUUGCUCUUGACCAAAAUUUCAU
rnacentral:lncRNA from 1 species